rnacentral:rRNA from 1 species
GUAACGAGCGCAACCCUGUCCUAGUUACCAGCACGUUAUGGUGGGCACUCUAAGGAGACUGCCGGUGACAAACCGGAGGAAGGUGGGGAUGACGUCAAGUCAUCAUGGCCCUUACGGCCUGGGCUACACACGUGCUACAAUGGUCGGUACAAAGGGGUUGCCAAGCCGCGAGGUGGAGCUAAUCCCAUAAAACCGAUCGUAGUCCGGAUCGCAGUCUGCAACUCGACUGCGUGAAGUCGGAAUCGCUAGUAAUCGUGAAUCAGAAUGUCACGGUGAAUACGUUCCCGGGCCUU